GGAGGGUAUAGCUCAGUGGUAGAGUGUGUGCCUACCAUGCAUGAGGUUCUGGGUUCAAUCCCCAGUACCUCCA
rnacentral:tRNA from 1 species